AAUCCAUUAGAUCAUUAGACCCCUAAGACCCUUGGAAAAUACAGAGCAACGACGCUCCAUAUCUGCUCUCUUUUGAAAUGAAAAAUCCAUCCCAAUUUGCUCUCAGGUCCCUCACAUAAUCCUUUCUCCCUCUCCUUCCUCUCUGAUUUCACUAACAUAUACAUGCAAAAAGCCUUAGCAGCAACUGGAAUUUGAGAUUCCAAAUUUGGCGAAAACUCUCGAAAAACAUAAUCGAAAACCAAAAGAAAAAGAUUUGAAAAGCUAGUCUGAAUUCUGUUGUUUUUUUCAAUAAUUCAUAGUUGCUUGAGCUGAAUUUGGACUUAAAUUGAAGUUGUGCAUGUGUUUGAGUGGAAAACAAAGUUCUAAAAAGAAACAAAAGAAAAAGGGGAAAGUGAAAUUUCAAGGGGAAAAUCUGAAAUCAACUCGAUGGCUAGCGAGUUUUGAGAACCAAACGCUUCCUGGGUUUCUAAAAAUUGCUGAGUUCGAAAAUCUGCUGUUGUUGUAUUCAUGUAGCAGCUGAGCUCCACUCUGUCUCCUUCUUAGCCUUAUUUGGCCUCACAAGUUUGUUUUAAAUACUAGGAUAUCGAGGUGAGAAUCGGGAGCUCAUGUCGUUUCUUAUCGUCUACUCUCCAAAAAACAAGGGGACUAUCUGUGUACGUUAGAAAUCGAGCUCGUAUAUGAUAUGGUAGAUUGGGCUCGGAACAUGAGGUAUUGACUCACACCUUACUUGUCUUUACUUUCAUGUGUCAACUUGUCAGGCAUCCACAUGUCGUUCAUCAAUUUUACCCCAUACAGAUAGUCAGCCUACUUUUCGGUAAUAACACUUCGUGUUACCAGAAAGUAGAUAAGGAUUUUUUUCUUGAUGGAAAAGGUUUUGAAUAGUUUUUGACACUUGAAAGGACGUAUGUCUCCUCGUAUUUAAUGAGUCGAACACGUGUUAUACUAUGAUUUGGUAAAUAUUUUUGUCAGUUUUUAAGGUAACGAUGACCAUGAAUUCUACUUCCUAUAAACUUUUCCACUACUCAUCCUUUUUAUUUUUCACUUUUACAAACUUUUCUUCUUUGAAUCACCCUUAGAGUUUUUCUGUAAAUCUCUCUUUCUUAGUAAAAUUUUCUUAACCAAAUUCUCUAUCACCAUAUCUUUCACUUUUUCUGUCCCCAAAAACUCUGGCCUUCACAUCAGUGGUGGCCCUUCUAAAAAGAAUAAAAUCAAGGAAGCCGAUGCCGGUCCUCCUACUACCAACACAAUUAUCCCAUCCCAAUUAAAUUCUGAAACGGAUCUCCAAGUGCAAAAGAACCUAUCAACCCCAAGAAAUAGAAAUUAUCCUGAUAGUAGAUAUCCUUCUUAUAUUCGCCCUACUAGUAUUCCGAUUAUGAAAGCAGAUUUCGAUUGGAAAACAUUAAAAUCUUAGCCCCAAUAAAGUGGAAGGGGUUACCUUUAACAAACGGGGGUUCAUGUAUAUCUACACGUAUCCUUCCACUUUAAGAAUGUGCCAAAAAAUUAAUCUCAAUAUCUUAGAAUUUUGUCACAAGCCCAUCAAUUUGACGUAUGGUGGCUUGCCUCGGGGUAUUGUGCUCCCAAGACGGAGAAAGCCUCACUCUUGCCCAUUUUAUCAACCUCUACUCCCCAAAGAAUUUUAUCAACCUCUACUCCCCAAAGAAUUUUAUCAACCCUCACCCAUCCACCAAACCUUAUUUACUAGUGUUGAUGAUGAUAAUGAUUGUGGUUGGAUGGAACGGUUCAUUGUCAUUACUACUAGGGACAUCCUUCUAGCAACAACACCUUCUAUCCCAGAAUCUUGGAACUUUGCUCGUAAGUUUUGUAGAUAGGUUUUUUCUAUUGCAUUAAAGAAAAUUCCCUCCUUUACUAACUUUUAUUUCUCUUAUUUAAGCUACCCGUUGGGUUCCAUCAUCGGCUAAGAACCUGACUCAAUGGGUACAAAAUAUUCUAGAUGCCUCUACACCGGAUUCCCAUAAGGGGAAAGAAAUUUCUCCAAAAUUUAAUUGGAAGGCCAAGAAUCAUGAUAAGGAAAAGUUCCUUUUUCCCUUUCUAAUCUUCAACAUGAAUUUGAUGGCUCUUUACUAACUCCCUCCUUCGUAAUACACAGGUCUUACAACUGGGUCUUUUAUUUUCCUGUUCUUGAGGUUUCCCAUGACCCAAUGGUGGCCCAUCAACGGAUGUAAGAAUCCUUAAUCGGAAGAGGGCUCGUGAUGCUGCUUUUGCUUCCGAUAAAGGCCCAUCUUCCCUGAGUCCCCAGUCUAAGGAGAAAAAAUCAAAAUGAAAACGUACCCCCAAAGAUGAGACUUAGGAGAA